AUUGAACGCUGGCGGCAGGCCUAACACAUGCCAGUCGAGCGGUAGAGAGAAGCUUGCUUCUCUUGAGAGCGGCGGACGGGUGAGUAAUGCCUAGGAAUCUGCCUGGUAGUGGGGGAUAACGUUCGGAAACGGACGCUAAUACCGCAUACGUCCUACGGGAGAAAGCAGGGGACCUUCGGACCUUGCGCUAUCAGAUGAGCCUAGGUCGGAUUAGCUAGUUGGUGGGGUAAUGGCUCACCAAGGCGACGAUCCGUAACUGGUCUGAGAGGAUGAUCAGUCACACUGGAACUGAGACACGGUCCAGACUCCUACGGGAGGCAGCAGUGGGGAAUAUUGGACAAUGGGCGAAAGCCUGAUCCAGCCAUGCCGCGUGUGUGAAGAAGGUCUUCGGAUUGUAAAGCACUUUAAGUUGGGAGGAAGGGCAGUAAAUUAAUACUUUGCUGUUUUGACGUUACCGACAGAAUAAGCACCGGCUAACUCUGUG
rnacentral:rRNA from 1 species